CGCUCAGUAUGAAAACGUAGCGAGCACCACUAGCCAGUGCGGGAAUCCAAGAUGACAUAUCCCUACCUGCUGGCUGUGUUGGCGUGGGUGCAGCGGGCACCGUAGCCAGUGGCACUCCGCGAAUCCUGGAGGCUUCUUUCGUCGCCAAGUCAACAGUGCCAGUGCCAGCGCUUUCACGGAGGUACUGGCAACCCAUUCUUCGGCGACGUCCCCUAGUAAGAGGAAUUCUUCGGAUUCUGCAUCGGAACGAGACGCGCCCCACACCUACAAGCGUGGUGCCCCUGAGCCAAGCGACCUGUCUCUCGUUGGCAGUGCCAGCCCAGGGCCAGGCGAGGUAAAAGUGGUCAAACGCUCAGCUCAGUCUCAGCCCUUAGUUCGUUAUCUGCCACAGAAUCUUGUUACCGUGCUGGAGAGAGCGUGUACAUCGACCUCCACGAGCUCUGUACUCCCGGUCCCUUCCAUAGCCAUUGCAGGUUGUCUCUGUUCAGCCUGUUCCUACGUCGCCGGCCAAGAUCCCUGUAGGUGCCUCCCAGUGGCUGGAUGUGGCAUAGAGCUGUAAUAGAUGUGUAAUUUUAUGUUUGUAGGUAGGCCUCUACAUACACACCUGUAUGUGUUUCAGGGCCGGGAAAAGUGUUAAUUUAUUGUUAAAAAAUAUUGUUUAAAUAAAGAUCAGGCCAUAAUAUACAUAAUAAACAUACAACCUUUAUGUUAUAGAUAUGAAGACUGCCAUACACAUAUCAUCAAAAUAAUACUGUAAUUCCAAU